GCCCUCCAGGUGCUGUUGAACUACAACUCCCAUCAGCCAGCUGAUGGGAGUUGUAGUCCAACAACACCUGGAGGUCACCA